rnacentral:lncRNA from 1 species
UCACUUAACGUUGACAUAGAGAAGCAAGUCAAAUUUAGGUGAGAGACUUUAACAUUCAAAAGCAAAGUUCGUUGGUCAAUUACACCAAGUGAACCAUUCAACCCAAAGUAUAAAUAAUCUAAACCAAGCAUUUGUUUCUCUUAUAUAUGAGGGUUAUAAACAUAUACAGAUGAAGCACAAGCUUGGCACAAUCGAAUGGGUCUCAAAGCUGCAGCAAUACUAUGAAGGCAAUGCCACCAGAUAGAAGCCAUGGCUCUAAAUAGAUAAAUAGUACCUUUGCUCUAGUUUCUCUUCAACAAAUGCCCACCAAGCAGGAAAGGCACGUGGCAAGUAUAAAUUAACACUUUCCAAUAAGGGCGGACCGAAAAACUUCAGUCACAAAAGCAUUGCUUCUCACACCGAUGUCUGCAGCUUCGGAGAGUAGAGGUCCACCCACAGGAGCAACACAAGCAUAACCACCACAAAAUCUUGAACAGGCAGUCAUUCUGAAUCAGAGAUUUCGUCUUCAUCCUCGUCCAGUAUGUAGACCAGGGCCCGCUUUCUUGCAGCUAAAACACAAGCCACACCUCUACUUGCUGUCGCCAUAAAAACAUGAACUUGAUUUCAGUCCAACGUUCCUUGAAUAUAUGGCCAUAACUAACGUGAUGUUUAGAUACCUUUGUUGGGUAAAAGCAAAAGUACAACACGCAUUAUGCUAAAACACAGGCAGUAAGCAAACCUUGGUGCCUAAGGAGGCUAUGGUAUGCAUGUAAACUACGAAUGCUCUACAGUAUCUUGCUAUACUAGCUACCAUGAUAGUAUCUAUCAUCAUGAACAUGUACAGGUUCUCAGUCAGUAACUAGACUGCAGUGAACCUACCAUAAGAAGAUUAUUCUCUGUACUUGUGCGGUCUCUAAAGAUUCACCUUUUCUGCACUUUGACCUCUCAAUUGAUUUAAAUUUAGGGGAAAACCUGAUACUUUAGCAUAUUACUUCUUCAACUGAAAAAAAAAUUGUUCUUCUUUGGAGCAUAAGUUUGCAC